rnacentral:miRNA from 1 species
UUAAUUGAUAUAAUAUAUUAUCAUAAUAAUAUACAAAUUAAUAAUAAAAAUAGUGUUAUUUAUAUUAUCAUAAUAAUAUACAAAUUAAUAAUAAAAAUGUUGUUAUUAUCAAUAACACCAUUUUUAUUAUUAAUUUGUAUAUUAUUAUGAUAAUAACUUAUUGUAAUAAA